rnacentral:rRNA from 1 species
UCGAGAAUCUUUCACAAUGGGCGAAAGCCUGAUGGAGCGACGCCGCGUGGAGGAUGAAGGCCUUCGGGUUGUAAACUCCUGUCAUGAGGGAACAAGAAAGUGAUAGUACCUCAAGAGGAAGAGACGGCUAACUCUGUGCCAGCAGCCGCGGUAAUACAGAGGUCUCAAGCGUUGUUCGGAUUUACUGGGCGUAAAGGGUGCGUAGGCGGUGGCGUAAGUCGAGUGUGAAAUCUUCCGGCCUAACCGGAAAACUGCACUCGAUACUGCGUCACUAGAGGACUGUAGAGGAGACUGGAAUUCACGGUGUAGCAGUGAAAUGCGUAGAUAUCGUGAGGAAGACCGGUGGCGAAAGCGAGUCUCUGGGCAGUUCCUGACGCUGAGGCACGAAGGCUAGGGGAGCAAACGGGAUUAGAUACCCUCGUAGUCCCUGAGCGGGCUGGCAAGGCGCAU